GAGCACUGGCGUUUCCUGAGCACAAGCAAAUGCCUGACACAUGGACUUCGCCGAAUUCCAAAAUGUAGCAAAACAGUGCCUGCAUAUUUGGCAGGAAUCACCACCAGUUCAGGUCAGUGUCUGUUUCAGCAGAAGACGAAGCCCUGCAUGUUAACAGAGGAAAAUAAUUCAGAGGAAAAGGGGAGGAACAACAUGUGACAUUUUAUCCCAGACUGUCCACCCUGCUCUCAGGAGAGACUGAUAAAGCAGUUUUGUGAAGUAAUAGACAGAGCUUGGAAAUGGUGACAAACACAAGAGACUUCACAAUGACCUUGGGGAAGUUUUGUAACUGUUCUGUGCCCUACUGAAAUGUGGAGACAAUGCUUGUAUGAGUGCUUUUUUGCUAAAUCUUCAAGAACAAUGUCCUUUCGGGUGAUACAUUGAAACCACAAGUGCCAGAGGGGAAAAAACCUGCCACUGAAAUGCGUGGAGAUAUGAAUGACAGACUGUUCACUUAACUUAUACAUUCAAAAAUAUCUACUUUGUCCUUCCGAGAGUGAAAUGGCUGCUUUGACAUAACUGUGGUCUCUUAUAUGAUGUUAAUCCAUAGUGUCGAAGCCAUUAUAAUUCUAGUUCAGAUGUACAUAUUUUAAAAAAGAAUUCUAAGAAAAAGUUAUUUUACAUAC